CAGUGGAUCUAAGCGAACCAUAACCUCCGUCACCAGAUGUUCCGCUGAUUGCGCAAAAAACGUGUAAGGAGUCGUGCAUCCAGGGAGAAUGCAUAGUAUCUUCUUGGUACAUCUAAACAAAAACAAGGUAUCAAUGGGGAGACAAAGAGUAACAACUAGGAGCCGAAUCUUUGGAGGAUACCACCACUGAGGAUCUGAUUACACAUAACGCUUGUGGCACCUUACAUGCUCUAAGAAAUGCACACAAAGUGAAUAUGGCAAGGUUGGAGAGAAAGUACAUCAAGCAACAGGAAAAUUGAUGGGAUAAGUGCCAGCUGUGGGCAAGAAUUGCCUUAUACUAAGUCCCAAGCCCCAAGUGCCCUAGUCAUGAACCAGGAU